GAGCACGUAGGUGGGUUUGUAAGUCAGAUGUGAAAGCCUUCUGUUCAACGGAAGAAUUGCAUCUGAAACUGCGAGUCUUGAGUGUAGGAGGGGAGAAUGGAACUUCUGGUGGAGCGGUGAAAUACGUAGAUAUCAGAAGGAACUCCGGCGGCGAAAGCGAUUCUCUGGCCUAUUACUGACACUCAGUGUGCGAAAGCCAGGGGAGCAAACGGGAUUAGAUACCCCGGUAGUCCUAGCCGUAAACGAUGGGCACUAAGUAGAGGGGUUUU
rnacentral:rRNA from 1 species